AGAGUAUAGCGGCCGGGUGGCGGUGCCUUUGUGGAUCCGGUUCCUAGCCUGAGAGGAGGGUACAUGAGAUGUGAUGGUGCCAACUUUCUGUGCCCCUUCAAUUUGGAACAUGUGGUCAUCAAAGAAGAUGUGGGGCCUUAUCUUCACCAAGAUGGGACCUUUGGCAGCUCCAGCAAGGAAAAGAGCUUCGUCUAUCUCUAGACCCCAGCGACGAAGGGUUUUCAGCACACGGGCGCCUGAACUGGCUGCACUCCUGGCUGUAACCAGCCCAUCGUUCUCAUUUGCUUCAAUUCAACAACAAAACACUGAGAAUCAGCUUUGUCACAAGCAACAUCCCAGGCACUGACGAUCCAAAGGCGGCAGAACAGACUCUGAGGUUAGUAAAGCUUCUCUUUUUCCUCUCUUUGUCUCUCUCUUGACAAAUGGACAAUGGAUGGCCUCCUCUCCGAGUGCACACAAAGGUCAAAACAUGCCUGUCCGUGACUAUGGCCCUUUGUGUUUUGUGCUUCUCUUUACUGUGCUUAUGUUCCAAGGCUCGACGACACAUUCUGCAGUGCCCACUGAUAAAUAGUAGGCAGAGAAUGGAUGAGAAUCAUUAUGAAGAGGGAGAAACUGUCCAGAUGUUAGUAGCUCAUAAUGUUUUAAUUUGGAGGAGUACUUUCCCCAACGCCAUCACCAAAGGUUUGUCUUUGGUUUAUUUGUGUUAUCACAACAGUGACGAUGGAGUUAAAUGCAGCCUUUGAAAAGAGGAUUUUUGCUUGUUUCAUUUAUAUUCUACUGUUCUUUCAUUAAACAUUUCUAAAUAUCCACGGGGCUCAAUUCUUACAAAAAUAAAUCAGAUAAA